rnacentral:tRNA from 1 species
GGGGCCAUGGGCUAACCUGGUUAGACUGCGAGCUUCGGGAGUUCGUGAUUUGAGUUCAAAUCUCAGUGGCCCCA